rnacentral:miRNA from 15 species
CUCCUCAAAGGGCUGUGAAAUG